rnacentral:rRNA from 1 species
UACGUAGGGUGCGAGCGUUGUCCGGAAUUAUUGGGCGUAAAGAGCUCGUAGGCGGUCUGUCGCGUCGGCUGUGAAAACUCGGGGCUCAACUCCGAGCUUGCAGUCGAUACGGGCAGGCUAGAGUUCGGCAGGGGAGACUGGAAUUCCUGGUGUAGCGGUGAAAUGCGCAGAUAUCAGGAGGAACACCGGUGGCGAAGGCGGGACUCUGGGCCGAUACUGACGCUGAGGAGCGAAAGCGUGGGGAGCAAACAGG